GUUUAGUAAGUCGGUGUNNNACUCUGGGCUCAACCCGGAGAGGCCAUGNGAUACUGCUGUGACUUGAGUUCAGGAGGGGAGCGGGAAUUCCUAGUGUAGCGGUGAAAUGCGCAGAUAUUAGGAGGAACACCGGUGGCGAAGGCGCCGCUCUGGACUGAAACUGACGCUGAGGAGCGAAAGCAUGGGUAGCAAACAGGAUUAGAUACCCUGGUAGUCCAUGCCGUAAACGGUGGGCACUAGGUGUGGGUUCCAACUAACGGGAUCCGCGCCGUCGCUAACGCAUUAAGUGCCCCGCCUGGGGAGUACGGUCGCAAGACUAAAGCUCAAAGGAAUUGACGGGGGCCCGCACAAGCAGCGGAGCGUGUUGCUUAAUUCGAUGCUACGCGAAGAACCUUACCUGGGUUUGACAUGUUUGGAAAAGCCACAGAGAUGUGGUGUCCGCAAGGGCCAAACACAGGUGGUGCAUGGCUGUGGUCAGCUCGUGUCGUGAGAUGUUGGGUUAAGUCCCGCAACGAGCGCAACCCCUAUUCUCGUUGCCAGCAAGUAAUGUUGGGGACUCAUGGAAGACCGCCGGGGUCAACUUGUAGGAAGGUGGGGAUGACAUCAAAUACUCAUACCCGUAAUGUCCAAGUCUACAAACAC
rnacentral:rRNA from 1 species